CAAAAGCUCAGCUAAUCGUUCCGGCCCAAAAGAAAGAGUAAAAUAGCCCCAUGCAGCCUCCCGAGAUCCAUCCUGGAAAAAACCCACCCAAGAUCUCAUCGUCCCCAACCCACGCGACCAUGAUCCCCUUCCCCAAUGCGUCGUCGGCCAGUCCCUCCCCCAGCGCACCGCCGGCCGGCCCCUUCCCUUGCGCCCCGCCAACCGCCCCAUCUACCCAAGCGGGCCACCGCCACCCCCCUCUCCUAGCGCACCGCCGCCGACCCCCUCUCCCCCAUUACGCCGCCACCGACCUUCUUCCCCAGCGCGCCGCCGCCGGUCCCCUCUCCCCCAGCAUGCCGCCGGGGGCUCCAUCUACACCCGUUACGGCCGCCGCCUAUCCCCAUUUUCUCGCCGUGCCACCACGCCCUGGACGACGCACCUCCGGCUGCACCAUCAUGGUGGAGGCGCCGCACCGUCUUUGAGAUGCUCCUCCGGCGCUAACUCGAACUGCAGGGCAUCGUCCUUCGAACAGCUGGGCCUCCUGUCCCCUGACCUCCGGCAGGCCAUCGUCUCUGGUUGUCAGCGCGACUCAUGGGCAGGAGUCCUCCACAAAACAUGCUAGAUGUCCCGCAAUGAGCCAAGACAGGGGAGUUGUUGGACGCUACCGUCUUCGCCGGCCGUCACGAUGUGAGCAGCUAUGCCCAUUGCUCACCGUUGGUUGUCGGCCAUUCUUCUUCACCACCUCCUGAAGGUCAGCUUCUGGUACAUGGGAAUGGAACACCAGAUGAAGCAAAAUUGAGUGAUCAUUGGGAUGGAACACCCACAGCCGUAACUACAACUCUCUCUGUCUUCUCAAAGAUUGACUGUGUUUGUGCUGCUACGUCUCUCUCUACUAAUUGGUGUGAUUAAAUUUAUGUUUUGAUCGUUGGAUCCUCAUUUGUUAAAUCUAGCAUGCAGAAAAGUUUAGAAAAGGAGGCCCGAACAAAUUGGGUGCACUCUACCUUUUUGUUCUUAUGCUUGGUAAACCUUGUUCAGUUUGCGUUGGAGAACUUGUACUAUUCCUGGUGCUCUCAAGCUAUAUGUUUAUAUGCCUAAAAAGAACUUCAAUCA